CCUCCACCCCCUGCCCGUCCUCCACCCCCUCCUGCACCCCCACUUCCCCCUCCACAGCCUUCUGUUGUACAGGCUGCCCCUCCAGCUGCUGCAUUCCCAAAGCACCCCAAAUCCAGCUUGCCCACUCUCAAACCCACACCCAAGUGCAAACCCAAACUCCCCACACCGGCGCCCGAGGCCUCCUCAGAGCCAGCAGACUGGCGCGACCCCAGCCAGUUGGAGCAGCUGCGGAGCCAGCUGGCAGCCUAUCUGUGUGGCCCCAGGAAGGAGGACAGAGCCCUCCGUCACAGGCCGGGCCCCACGGUGGCUGCUCAGGACAAGGAGGGCAAGAAGGGCCCAAGUCCCCCAGCAGAGGCAGUGCCCCGGAUCCUGCCUGAGAAGAUGCCCCCGGGGGUCCCCGAGAAGGGUCCCACCCUGGCCCUCCCCCCGGUGGACUACGACCCCCAGGACACCCCAGCCCGCAGCGCGGGUCCCCUAUGGCCCUGCUCCUGGCAGCCCGGAAGCGGGCUCAGAAGGGGAGGCCUGGAGGGCUUGCCCAAGGGCGGUCCUUGCCUGGAAGCAUUCGAGGCUGUGGCGGCCUGCCGGAGCCCAAGUCUGACAGCGUCUUCCCCACGGACGGCAAGCCCAGCUCCUUCACCGUGGUCCCCAAGUCACCCAAGGAGGUGGAGAAGGUCACCCUGCUGCCCAGCGAGCAGAAGUCCCCAGAGGGCGCAGAGCCGCCCUCGCGGCCUUGGUGGACCACGAUGCAGCGCCCUGCACCCGGGGGGACCUGGGACAGGCCCAUCCCCUCCAGCCUCCCGCAGGACCCCUUGCUCCCCAGGUCCCUGUCGUCGCCACCCUCACCUUUCUGCAGGCGGCGGGAGGCUGAGGCUGAGGCUGAGGCUGAGGAGUUCACUUUUGAGGUCAUUCCGCCGCCGCCCGAGUUCAGCAACAACCCUGCUCCCUCGGUUCUCAAGGACCUGGGGCGGCCGCCUGGCCUGGCCUUCCCACAUGUCCUGGAGCGUGGCUGCCCCGGGGGCCGAUCGCUCAUCAAGAAGCGGCUGUACAUUGGGGGGGAGCCACCCCACGCCCCUGGACCUGGCCGCAGCCAGGGCACCCCCAACGGCCCGACGCCUCGCCGCCUCCCCUCCGCCGGAUGCCCACACCCUGCCGCAGUCCACGGGCGGCGGAUGUCACUGGAGGGCACUGUGGCACGAGGCAUGGGUGAUGCCAAGUACAGGGUGCCUGGGGACUUGGCGGGGGAGCACUGCCUCGAGCCUGCCACGGGCAGGUAAGCUGGGCCUGGGCUGGCGGUGGACGGGGUGGGAGGACUGGGGUGGCAGGAGGGCACCCCGAGGCCUGGAGGGGCCGCCUUAGGUCUCGCUUGCUUGGUGUGUCUGGUGCCCUGGAGGACAGGGCAGGGUGAGGGACCAGCGGUGCAUGAAGCUUACGGCUCUCUCGCCCUCUCCCAGGUCACACAUCAACACCUUCACUGUGAGGCCCGGGACGCGCCAUCCCAUCUCCUAUGCCUCCUCCCGAGCCCACCGGAAAGCCAUGUCCUGAGCCCGUGGCUCUCAGCUCUGCUCCGAGGGGUUGGGGCUGGGAAUUUGUCCUGGUGGGGGGUGGGAGGGUUGAAGCAGGUGUCAGCCUGAUCCAGACACAGAAGAGUCUUCGUUCUCCGAAGACAUGACGAGGAGCACAAGGAAGCCUGAGAAGGGAUCCGGGCUCUGUUUUCCAAAGCCACGGUGUGGUGUGGCUGGGGCCCUGCAGAAGGGGCUGGGGAGGGUGAGGAGGAAGAAGAGCGGGAGUCCUGCGCGCCCUGAGCCUCUGCUGUUUGCUGGCGGUUGCUUUAGUGAGAUUCACUGAGAGCAGCUGUGCAAGCCCAGACUGCUGAGCAGGUUCUAAGUGUUGCUGAAACCCGAGGGGCACUGGGCGUUGUGGGGUGGGUUCCUGUCCACGUGGCCCUGCCCUUAGCUCCACGGAGGCCCAGGCAGAGAGACUUGGUGAGCAGGGACAGGAGACCGAGGAUGAAGGCUGCUUCCUGUGCAGACCAAGCAGCCCUCAGGAUUGGGGCCUGAAAACAGCCCCUGCGUGCCCAGGUCUCGUGUGAGGGUUCCCGAACCCACUGUGACUUACGCAGGCCCAAAUGCUGGCGGGCCUUGGAAAGUGGAAGAUGGGAACACAGGUCCCAGAGAAGGUCACUGCUGGUGGGGCAGGUGUUUCAGGAAGCUGGGAGUACCAGGACUGGCCAGUUCAGAGCAGGGGUGACCAUUUGUCUUUUACCCGGGCAGUCCACGCUUAUGCCUGUUUUCCAAUGAAUCAGAACCCCGUAUUAAGUCCUGCUUGGCAUAAGAGCAUUGUAUUCACUCUCAGUUUUGUCUCCAGGUUGGGGCCGGGGAGUCAGGAGGAAGGCAGGGGGUGGCCCUUAAUUGGGGCAGCCUAGAAGCAGCUUCCCUUGGGAGCAAGAUACCGGAUCAUUAGCCAAGGGCCUAGGCUUCAGGGACAGAUACCAGAGCCACUUCCAGGAAAGACAGUGUAGGGUGGGUUAGGAGCAGGGUGGCCCUGGCCAGCCAUCCCGAGGGGACAGGGUCUGGGUCCCUGUGUUCAGGAUGCAGCUCUGCUCAACACCAGCCCUGGCUCUAGAAAUACUCGUGUUUCCGGUGCCGUGUUUUAGAACAGAGAUCACUAGGGCUGGGGAUUUAGCUCAGUGGUUCUGCCACCUUCCCCGCAAGUGCAAGGUCCUGAGUUCAAUCCCUGGUACCAAAAAAGAAAAGAAAAGAGAUCGCUAAUUCAUCUGCAGUGCUGAGGCUUGAGGAAGGGGUGUGACAUGGGCUCUGCGUUGCUCUGGGGUGGGUGGAGAAGGGCUUGGUCUCACUUGGCUUGGGAAAUAAACGAGCCAGUUGGGACUGGCCUUCAGCUCUGCGGCUGCAAGUGAUGAUUCGGAGUUCCUGGGUGUGGGAGACUUGGGCAGCUCUGCUGGGANNNNNNNNNNNNNNNNNNNNNNNNNNNUGCCGAGCACAGGACGUUUGACCGCCCUGGUGUCUGACCUCGUUUUCCUCUUCUCCAAAUCCCUCCGGGGAAUGAGCAGAACCGAGGGCUGGUGAUAAUAAACAGUGUCCUUCUGCAAGACUCUUGGACUCUUCUGGACACGACAGCAGUGUUUACCUCCGCAGGCUCUGUGAAGAUCGGAGAUGGCCACACACUCAUGUAGCAAGGGUUUGUGGGGCUGCUGGGUGCCAGGCACUGUGCUUGGCAUGGGCAUACAGCCAUCCACACACGGUUCCUGGCUCCUGGCUUGGCAACAGCGGAGGUAAAAGAGAAUAAAAAGUGCCCAGAAACAUGGAGAGUUAAGCUGGUGCAUACCUGUGAUACCCGAGCCGAGCCCUUGUCACUGGGGAGGAAAUGCAGCCCCUGGAGGGCGCUGAGGUCCAGCAGAAGAACCCCAUGCUGCCCUGCGCCCCUUUGCCCUGUCCUGAUUAUACUGGCCCAGACUUCUGGCGGGGAGAGUGAGGACUCGAGU
rnacentral:lncRNA from 1 species